rnacentral:rRNA from 1 species
UGCGCCUUGCCAGCCCGCUCAGAAACUUAAAGGAAUUGACGGGGGCCCGCGACAAGCGGUGGAGCAUGUGGUUUAAUUCGAUGAUACGCGAGGAACCUUACCUGGGCUCAAAUGUAUGUUGACGUAUUCUGAAAGGGAUACUUCUUCGGACAAUAUACAAGGUGCUGCAUGGUUGUCGUCAGCUCGUGCCGUGAGGUGUCGGGUUAAGUCCCAUAACGAGCGCAACCCCUAUCAUUAGUUGCCAUCAGGUCAAGCUGGGGACUCUAAUGAAACUGCCUACGCAAGUAGUGAGGAAGGUGGGGAUGACGUCAAAUCAGCACGGCCCUUACGUCCAGGGCUACACACGUGCUACAAUGGUCGGUACAAAGGGUUGCCAAGCCGCGAGGUGGAGCUAAUCCCAUAAAACCGAUCGUAGUCCGGAUCGCAGUCUGCAACUCGACUGCGUGAAGUCGGAAUCGCUAGUAAUCGUGAAUCAGAAUGUCACGGUGAAUACGUUCCCGGGCCUU